rnacentral:lncRNA from 1 species
AUGCCUUUAGAAAAUAUGGCGGUAGCUUGGCUUCAGUUGCCACUGGUUGUACUUAAGGGCCUCUUUCUUGAGCAUCUCAAAUAUGGCGCCUUACUGGCUCCUCUGGCUUUAGGUCCCCACUUGGCCUUAAAAACAAUGGCCGUUUCAGGAGCUUUUGCGUCGGUAGUGGGGGAGGAUUGGCCAGGAAAUCCCGAAAAACGUUCUUGCCUUCAAGAAAGAUGGACACAGAGGCGGUUUCACCUGUCUUUCUCCAGCGUGGAUGCAGAGCGAUCAGUGAUUGGCUGUAACCAAGUGAAGAAGCUGCGUCGUGAUUGGCUCCGGACUAGACUGGCGGAGCAUUUGAAAGGCUCUGAGCCCAGGAAUCCUCUGACCGAGAGAAAUGCCCGGAAGACCUCGGCUCUAGAGGGUCCCAGGAUUGUGAGCGCGAAGGUCUUCGAGCAGGCCUCCCCGCGGCGGGAUCUGCAGUCUGGUCGCCAGCCCUGGGGGAGGACGUACCCGGAAGACGUACCCACCCACCCUGGCGAACCCAAGCCGAGGAAGAAGCCAGGGAUCGAACUUGGGACCUUGCGUUUGCGAGACAGACCGUGGAACCACUGAGCUGAAUGAUUCCCCAGCUUGCCUCACCUCUAAUCCCAAAAUAAUUAAUGUAAUAAAGUAUUAUAAAUAUUUCUCGCAAGUAAGUGACUCACAUGCUAAACUGUCAACCUGAUUGGCUUAGGAGUCACCUAGGGGGUUAGUGAAUCCAACUUUUGGGUGUUUCUGGUCAGUCGUAGACACGAAACUCCUCCACCCUUCCUUUCCCUCUGGCCCUGCUCCCAUUCUCUGCUUCCCUGCCAGCAUGAACUGAGCAGCUUUUCUCUGCUAAGCCCAUAUGCCAUUAUGGUUCUGCCUUGGACUGACUCUUCCAAAACCUUGAGCCUAACAAACCUCUCCUC